UCAUGUUUAUGAGGCCUUGAGUUC
rnacentral:piRNA from 1 species